AACGUAGGAGACAAACGUUAUCCGGAGUUACUGGGCGUAAAGGGCGUGUAGGUGGUUUCGUAAGUCUGGCGUGAAAUUUUUCGGCUUAACCGGGAAAAGGUCGUCGGAUACUGCUGAACUAGAGGACGGUAGAGGCGUGUGGAAUUCCGGGUGUAGUGGUGAAAUGCGCAGAUAUCAGGAAGAACACCCGUGGCGAAGGCGGCUCUCUGGAACGCAACUGACGCUGAGACGCGAAAGCGUGGGGAGCAAACAGG
rnacentral:rRNA from 1 species